UACGGGGGGGGCAAGCGUUGUUCGGAAUUACUGGGCGUAAAGGGCUCGUAGGCGGCCAACUAAGUCAGACGUGAAAUCCCUCGGCUUAACCGGGGAACUGCGUCUGAUACUGGAUGGCUUGAGGUUGGGAGAGGGAUGCGGAAUUCCAGGUGUAGCGGUGAAAUGCGUAGAUAUCUGGAGGAACACCGGUGGCGAAGGCGGCAUCCUGGACCGGUAUUGGCGCUGAGGCGCGAAAGCUAGGGGAGCAAACGGG
rnacentral:rRNA from 1 species